CCUACGGGUGGCAGCAGUGAGGAAUAUUGGUCAAUGGACGCAAGUCUGAACCAGCCAUGCCGCGUGCAGGAUGACGGCUCUAUGAGUUGUAAACUGCUUUUGUACGAGGGUAAAGCCCGAUACGUGUAUCGGGUUGAAAGUAUCUUACGAAUAAGGAUCGGCUAACUCCGUGCCAGCAGCCGCGGUAAUACGGAGGAUCCGAGCGUUAUCCGGAUUUAUUGGGUUUAAAGGGUGAGUAGGCGGUUUGAUAAGUUAGAGGUGAAAUGUUGGGGCUCAACCCCGAAACUGCCUCUAAUACUGUUAGACUAGAGAAUAGUUGCGGUAGGCGGAAUGUGUGGUGUAGCGGUGAAAUGCUUAGAGAUCAUACAGAACCCCGAUUGCGAAGGCAGCUUACCAAACUAUAUCUGACGUUGAGGCACGAAAGCGUGGGUAGCAAACAGGAUUAGAUACCCGUGUAGUC
rnacentral:rRNA from 1 species